rnacentral:rRNA from 1 species
AGUCACUGACAUUAGAUACCCGCGUAGUCCAGGGUGUAAACGCUGCAGACUUGGUGUUGGAAGCCCUUUGGGGGCAUUCAGUGCCGGAGAGAAGUUGUUAAGUCUGCUACUUGGGGAGUACGUCCGCAAGGAUGAAACUUAAAGGAAUUGGCGGAGGAGCACCGCAACGGGAGGAGCGUGCGGUUUAAUUGGAUUCAACACCGUAAAACUCACCAGGGAAGACUGUUACAUGAAGGCCGAGAUGAAGACUCUGCUAGAUUUUCAG